rnacentral:rRNA from 1 species
CACGGAGGGUGCAAGCGUUAUCCGGAAUUACUGGGUUUAAAGGGUGCGUAGGCGGCUUUAUAAGUCAGAGGUGAAAGCUUGGCGCUUAACGGUAAAAUUGCCUUUGAUACUGUAGAGCUUGAAAGAGGUUGAGGUCAGCAGAAUGUGGCAUGUAGCGGUGAAAUGCAUAGAUAUGCGAUAGAACACCGAUUGCGAAGGCAGCUGGCUGGGCCUACUUUGACGAUGAGGCACGAAAGCGUGGGGAGCAAACAGG